UUUCCGGUUGAUCCCGCCGGACCUGACUGCUAUCGGAUUGAUACUAAGCCAUGCGAGUCUUUGUAGUAAUACAAGGCAGACGGCUCAGUAACACGUAGUCAACCUACCCUAUGGACAAGAAUAAUCUCGGGAAACUGGGCAUAAUUCUUGAUAGAUCAUAAUGCCUGGAAUGGUUUAUGGUUAAAAUGAUUCGUCGCCAUAGGAUGGGACUGCGGCCUAUCAGCUUGUUGGUGAGGUAAUGGCCCACCAAGGCGAUUACAGGUACGGGCUCUGAGAGGAGAAGCCCGGAGAUGGGUACUGAGACACGGACCCAGGCCCUAUGGGGCGCAGCAGGCGAGAAAACUUUGCAAUGUGCGAAAGCACGACAAGGUUAAUCCGAGUGAUUUCUGCUAAAGAAAUCUUUUGCCAGUCAUAAAACCACUGGUGAAUAAGGGGUGGGCAAGUUCUGGUGUCAGCCGCCGCGGUAAAACCAGCACCUCAAGUGGUCAGGAUGAUUAUUGGGCCUAAAGCAUCCGUAGCCGGCUUUGUUAGUUUUCGGUUAAAUCCAUGUGCUCAACGCAUGGGCUGCCGAAAAUACUGCAUAGCUAGGGAGUGGGAGAGGUAGACGGUACUCAGUAGGAAGGGGUAAAAUCCUUUGAUCUAUUGAUGACCACCUGUGGCGAAGGCGGUCUACCAGAACACGUUCGACGGUGAGGGAUGAAAGCUGGGGGAGCAAACCGGAUUAGAUACCCGGGUAGUCCCAGCUGUAAACGAUGCAGACUCGAUGAUGCAUUGGCAUAAUAGCCAGUGCAGUGUCGCAGGGAAGCCGUUAAGUCUGCCGCCUGGGAAGUACGUACGCAAGUAUGAAACUUAAAGGAAUUGGCGGGGGAGCACCACAAGGGGUGAAGCCUGCGGUUCAAUUGGAGUCAACGCCGGG
rnacentral:rRNA from 1 species